rnacentral:lncRNA from 1 species
GUUACGACUGUACUGUACUUAUAAUUAUAUGUAAAUCCAAAUUUGAUGUUCAUUUAAUUAGAAUUGCUUGAGGAGGCUCAACUGUAGUAAUUGAAACUAUAUCCAAAUUAGCCGUUGUUCAAACUGUAGCAGUUGGAGACCAGAGGGUAACUUUCAUAUAAAAUAUAAGCUCACCUUUCCUUUUUAAAUAGAAAAUAUAUAUUUUUUAUGUUGGAGAUAAUCUCGCACUAUAUAUAUAAAACGAUAAAAUUUUAAAAGAUAUUCUUUUCACCUGCAUGCAACCAUCAAUACUUUCUAUCAUAUCCAACAAAAUAAGAUAUUUAUAAUUUUAACUGUUGUAUUUUCAAUUAUUAUAUGCAUUAUUACUAACUGAACAGCUUCUAAAUCAAACACAGUAUAUAGUAUCUUUUUCAAUUUCACUAGAAAUUAAA